rnacentral:rRNA from 1 species
AUUGAACGCUGGCGGCAGGCCUAACACAUGCAAGUCGAGCGGACGAAGGGGGCUUGUUCCUGGCUUCAGUUGCCGACGGGUGAGUAAUUCCUAGGAAUCUGCCUGGUCUUGGGGGAUAGCGUCCGGUAACGGGCGCUAAUAUCGCAUACGUUAUUAGGUUGAAAGUGGUGGAUCUUCGGACCUCACGCUAUUAGCUGAGCCUAGGUCGGAUUAGCUGGUUGGUGAGGUAAAGGCUUACCAAGGCGACGAUCCGUAACUGGUCUGAGAGGAUGAUCAGUCACACUGGAACUGAGACACGGUCCAGACUCCUACGGGAGGCAGCAGUAGGGAAUCUUGGGCAAUGGGCGAAAGCCUGAUGCAGCCAUGCCGCGUGUGUGAAGAAGGUCUUCGGAUUGUAAAGCACUUUAAGUUGGGAGGAAGAGCAGUAAGUUAAUACCUGCCUGUUUUGACGGUACCAAAAGAGAAAGCACCGGCUAACUUCGUG